rnacentral:rRNA from 1 species
CGAACGCUGGCGGCAGGCCUAAUACAUGCAAGUCGAACGGCUCUUCGGAGCAGUGGCGGACGGGUGAGUAACGCGUGGGAAUGUGCCCUUUGGUACGGAACAACACAGGGAAACUUGUGCUAAUACCGUAUGUGCCCUUCGGGGGAAAGAUUUAUCGCCAUUGGAGCAGCCCGCGUUGGAUUAGGUAGUUGGUGAGGUAAAGGCUCACCAAGCCUACGAUCCAUAGCUGGUCUGAGAGGAUGACCAGCCACACUGGGACUGAGAACCGGCCCAGACUCCUACGGGAGGCAGCAGUAGGGAAUCUUGCGCAAUGGGCGAAAGCCUGACGCAGCCAUGCCGCGUGUAUGAUGAAGGUCUUAGGAUUGUAAAAUACUUUCACCGGGGAAGAUAAUGACGGUACCCGGAGAAGAAGCCCCGGCUAACUUCGUGCCAGCCGCCGCAGUAAGAC